rnacentral:rRNA from 1 species
CCGCUGAAUUUAAGCAUAUCAGUAAGCGGAGGAAAAGAAACUAACAAGGAUUCCCCUAGUAACGGCGAGUGAAGCGGGAAUAGCCCAGCACCGAAUCCCUCGGCUCAAGGCCGGCGGGAAAUGUGGUGUAUAGGAAGCCGAUUGGCGCGGCGACGAGCGUCCAAGUCCUCCUGAUCGUGGCCUUGCCCAGAGAGGGUGUCAGGCCCGUGAGGCGCGCCAGUCGCCCGCGUCUUCGAGCUUCCUCGGAGUCGGGUUGUUUGGGAAUGCAGCCCAAAGGUGGGUGGUAAACUCCAUCUAAGGCUAAAUACUUGCACGAGUCCGAUAGCGGACAAGUACCGUGAGGGAAAGU